CACACAUCAUCCAGCACACACACACACACACAUCAUCCAGCACUCACACACAUCAUCCAGCACUCACACACAUCAUCCAGCACACACACACACACACACACAUCAUCCAGCACACACACACAUCAUCCAGCACACACACACAUCAUCCAGCACACACACACACACACACAUCAUCCAACACACACACACACACAUCAUCCAGCACACACUCACA